rnacentral:rRNA from 1 species
UACGUAGGGGGCAAGCGUUGUCCGGAUUUAUUGGGCGUAAAGCGCACGCAGGCGGUCUUUUAAGUUUUGAGUGACAGGUGGUGGCUCAACUGCCACAGGCCUUGAAAAACUGGAAGACUUGAGGGCUUCAGAGGGACGCGGAAUUCCAGGUGGAGCGGUGAAAUGCGUAGAUAUCAUUUGGAACGCCAAUGGUGAAAACAGGUAACUGGGGUUGUGCUGACGCUGAGACACGAAAGCUAGGGGAGCAAACGGG